rnacentral:lncRNA from 1 species
UGAUUAUGGAAUUUCCAGACUGAUCCCAAACUGUGUAGUUGAUGUAUGUAAAGUGAGUAGAGUGACUGUCUUGUGACUGCUGAUUAAGAUAUUUGCUGCAUGAUCAGAUGUUUACAUCUGACUUACUAGGAUGAAUUGUUGAGGAGGUGUAUCUUCCUGAUCAGAUGGCCACAGCUAACUUAUUUGGUGGUUUAUCUAUUAUGCUGCUCUAGAUUAUCAGGCGUUAAAUCUUGUUCUAAUCUUUUGUCUACACGUAAUCUCCCACAAACAAAACUUGAUAACAUGAGAAUGGCCAAGGUCUACAUUUGUUCAGCACCCAUCACUCAGGAUGUCGUUCCUGAUGUAUUACAGGGAGAAAUGACCAGCGUUUCUCAGUCAUCCAGAGUCGUCCAAAGCCCAGCAGUUGUUGGCAUUAUGCCUUAAACAAGGGGGAGAGGUCGAACCUCUUAAACAGAAACAAAACAUGGAGUUGCAGCCCCUAUAGUAUCUGCUCUAAGCAAUUCCCUGUUUCCAUAAUUCCUAAUCUGACAUAUCAGAUUGUGGAAAGGUGAAUCCUGUCCUGCUCCUUGGAUUAGAUCCAGUGCUGCCUUCGAAUCCGUUUCCAGGAUCACUCUCCUUUCUCCUGAGCUCCACGCCAUUUCCAUCCCUUUUGAGUACUCCCCAUCGCUCUACUGUCGUAUUGUCUGUUAGCCCAAUAUUCACUGCGAAGCCAGCUUUCCAUCUUUCCCAGCAUUAUGCCUUUCGUUGGCAUAGUCUCUAACCAAAUUCUCAUAUUCAUCUCCUAUUUUCCCAGCAUUAUUGCGCUGAACUGAAUUCCCCAUGAGAAAGAAGUACCAGAUGAUUUCCGAUAAGUUCUCAAGUGUAUUUUGCAAAUGAGCUUCUUUAUCAAGACGCAAACAGCCUUGGUUGCCUGCCUAAACCGCCUCGCUGGAACGAGAUCAAUACAUUUUUUUUCGGAUCACUGCAUACCUUGACUAAGGCUAAUCACUAGUUGUAACUGCAUAAUCAUGAGUGUCGUGAAGAGGUUCGGCUUAAAGCAGCAAAAGAAGUGGGCCACAAUGAAAUGUUAAUUGGGUACUGCGCAGCAUUAAAAAUAUGAAAAAUCGUUCACCAUGUCAUUCACUCUUGAAAUGUUAAUCUUGUCAUUCACUCUUGAAAUGUUAAUCUUACGUCUCUUGUAGACUUAAAUUUGCAAAAUUUGGUCUCAACGUAAGUUGUAAACUAAUUUUUAAUAGAGUUAUUAUCACUUUACCCUCUUAAACUAUAUCACUACUAUCAGUUUACCCUAUAACGUUAUCUUUUAAUCAUUUUAUCCCCAUAAGUAAUUCAACUCAACGUGUUAAGAAAUUUUGGACAAAAAUACCCUUUUAUUUUAUGUUAUUACUACAUUAUUAUUAUCCCUUUCUUCGUUUGGAUUAUAGUGAUACAAUCGCUUUACUUCAUAACAUUAUUUUCUAGACAUUUUACCUUAUUAUUAAUCUAACUAGUAUGGUCAAAAAAUUUUAAAUAUAUUUACCCUUUUUUAUAUAUAAUUAAAAAUAAAAAAGAUUGGAAUGGUUAUUCUUCUUUUUUUCACUUUAAGAGAUCGAAAAAAUCUUUUUUUCAUACUUAUUACUACUAGGAAAAGAAAAAGAGAUAGGAAAGAAGGAGACAAAAAAUUAGAUUUUGCAAAAAAAAAGAAAAUAAAGAAAAGUCUAACAUUAUCGUAUUACUUUAAGGUUAUCGGGAUUAGAAUUGAAAUUUGGUGGUAAACAAAAAAGUGAAAUAAUUUUAAAAUAAUAAAAGUAUUUAAUUCUUUCUUAUUUGUAAUUUUUUUAAAAAAAAUUGAGCUCUCUCUCUCCCCCUCCCCCUCUCCAUAUUUCUAUUUUUUUCAAUAUUAAUAAGAUUGCCAAGAAAAAAAAUUAAUAUUUUGACUUUUUUUCUUGAUACUAAAAAGAAGAAGAGUCACUCUAAAUUUUUUAUUAUUUUGAUUAUGCAAAGAGGGGGGUAUUUUCUUCUAAAGUUUUUAACUUGCUAAGUUGGUUUAAUGGUGGGAUAAAUUGUCUAAAAAAUAAUUUUAGGUGGUAAAUUGAUAAUGAGACUAUAUUUUAUGGGGGUAAAGUGAUAAUAAUUUUAAGGGUUAAACAUGUUUUUUCACUUUAAUUAACAAACUCCGUUAAGUUUGAUCAUUAGUCUUGGGGGUAAAGUGACUAAAAGAUAACGUUAAGGGGGAAAUUGAUAGUAACACCAAACGUUAAGGGGGUAAAGUGAUAAUAACCUUUUUUAAUAUGAAAUCACCACACAAUCAACAUGUAGUCAUUUUCUUUUAUGUAUAAAUAGGUCAAAUUCAACUUUUUUAGUGUAAAAAAUGAAUAUGGAUUAGGUCAAAUUUCACUUUUUUUUUGGGAAAAAAAAUGAAUAUGAUUUGAGUCAGAUUCUACGUUUUAGGAACAAAAAUAAAGAUGGAUUGAAUCAUUUGUUUAACUAUAAAUGAGAUUUAACCUUUUUGUUUAAAAAAAAAAGAUCAUAUGUGAUCACUUGAUGGAUUAAGGAUAAAUUUUAUCGACUUAAUUUUGUAGGGGAUGCAAAGUUAGCAUUUAAAAGUGAAGAACGAAAAAAUUCGUUUGGUGAAAUGUGAAAAACAUUUUAAACGAUUUUUCCUUAAAAAUAAAAAUAAUCUGAAUUUGUAGUCCUUUCUUUUAUUUUUUUAUUUUUUGAAGAGAGAAUUUGAAAAUUUUCCGGUGGGCUUCUUUUCUUUCUCCUUAAAGUGUUUCAGUGUGAAUUUACCUUUUUCUUGAAGGGACAUAAUAUGUAUGUCACAAUAAAUAAAACUAGCCAGCUGAAUAUUUCUCAAGACUGUUAUGCUUUUCAUUUCAAGGGACAAUUGAUUAUUGAUCUAGGAAACAAGAAAAUCAAAAAGUAAUUGAGGAAUAUGCGAUAUUUUUCUAUAUCGUUUAGGAGGAAAUGUUGGGGUAGUCAAUUAAAAACCCUGAAAGAAUAAAAAACAAAACGAAAAAGUAAAAUCCGACUGGUACGUUACGACGUCGGAUUAUCCAUACAUUUCAUUUCCGUUCUCCCGUUGAACCCUACUAAAACCCUCUUCUGUGUCCAAUUUCAAGAAAUAGCCCCAAAAAGGGUUUAGAAGAAGGAAGUUGAAAAUGGCGAGCCGUCUCGUUCAUUUCCGACCGACGGCGAGACUCCGGUGGCUGUCUACAGCAACAGAAAUGGCAACGGCAACGGCAACGGCAACGGCAACGACAGCGACAACGGCUGUGACCCAAGAUACAGCAACGGCUGUGACCAAAGACAAGCCUAAUAUCUCUCUGUUCAGGAAACUGAAGGAGCUGAAUAUUGGACCAGGCUCAGACGCUAAUGUUUCAGUGGUUCUAGAUGAAUGGGCCAAUGAAAGUCAGGCUAAACGAUUCGAUGCUGCUAGACAAAUCAAUUUUCUCCGAUCCCGCAAACAUUACCAUCUAGCCCUCCAGGUAAUUUCUUGAAUUUGGUUAUUUUCUUCUUUCUUCUUCUUGUUUUUUUUUUGUUUUUUUAAAAAUUGUUUCUUUAGGCAUUCCUAGAUUUGUGGAUGAAUGAAUAUGCGACACGUGAGAUUUAUGCUUUAGAUGGUUUAUUGUGCUUGUGGAGUGUAUUUAUUCAAAUCAAGUUGCUGUAUUCUUAUUGGGUGCUAAAUUGUUGUAAUGUGGUGAAAUUUUCUUUGUAAUUGAUAUUAGUAUGCAUUCUAAUCUUUUGUUUCGAUUUGAAUAAAAAAAACUUUGAUUGUUUUAUUCCUUUUCGAAUGCUUAAUAUUCUUAGACAGAUAGCGAAUGUGAUUGUGGAAAAGAGCAUUACUUUAUCAUAGGAAGAAAAGUCAUUUGUUGGGUAUGCAAGAAGUGAUUGUUUAUUUGGGUAAUAUGGUCGGGUUGGAAACAGCAUAGAUGUGCCGUUUGUUAGCAUUGACAACUAUUUGUAAAACAGGGGAGGCAUAGAAUUUGGGUAGCAGAUGAUAUGUUUAUUGAACAUUAGAUGCUCAGUUUUUGUAGGAAGCUUUUUACCCUUAUGGAAACAAAAUCUGGGAUGUAUUCUUUUAAUAUGCUUGUUGAAAAUAGGUAAAGGAUCAAGCGUGGGUUGUAUAGGAAAUUGUACCUGUAUACCAACAAUGGGGAUUGAUGAGCAAGGAACAAGUUGAGUUGUAGAUUAAAUUGUAGUUAUCUAUCAACUUCAGGAAAUAUAUAGACUUUGCAUGGACAUCUGUUGAAUUAAUAAUAUCUUUUCCUUCCUUAGAUGGCAUUUUAUUUGCUUCGGUUUGUUCUCAAACUGGAUAGUUUGGUUUGGACUUUGUAAUUGUUUUCCUUAUCUUGUUACUAAUGCAGCUAUCAGAAUGGCUGGAGAGCAGCAAGAUUGAGAUGAACAAUGCUGACCGAGCUGUGCAGAUUGACCUUCUUGCAAAAGCUAAGGGUAUUGCUUCAGCUGAAGUUUAUUUUGAUGGUCUUCAGGGAUCUGCGAAAACAAACAAAACUUAUGGAGCACUUCUCAACUGUUAUUGUAAGGAGAAAAUGUUGGAUAAGGCUGUCCAACUCUUUGCCAAGAUGAAGGAGCUGAAUUUUACUUCCACUCUGAACUAUAACAAUGUGAUGUCUUUAUACUUGAGCAGUAACCAGCCCGAACAAGUCCCUCUGCUUGUGCAAGAAUUGGAGCAGAAUAAACUUAAAGCAGAUAAAUAUACGUGCAAUCUGUUGAUUAACAGCUAUGCUUCCUCAAAUGAUAUAAAUGCAGCGGAGAAAGUUCUUGAGAAGAUGAAGAAAGAUAAGGUAAAGUAUGAUUGGUUCACUUAUGGGAACCUAGCAACUAUUUACGUCAAUGCUGGACUUCUUCCCAAAGCCAAAGAAAUGAUAGGAGAGAUGGAGAAAUUUGAAAAUGUGCGUGAUCGUGAGUUUUUCCAUAUGCUAAUCAACUUGUAUGAGCUUAUGUCUGACUUGGCUGGGGUUAAUCAUGUGUGGAACUCCCUCAAGUCAGUUUUCCCCUCCCCCAGUAACACUAGCUAUCUCAUCAUGCUGUUGGCUCUGUUUAAAUUGGGUGACCUGGAAAACCUGGAGAAGUAUUUUAGAGAGUGGGAAUCUCAAUGCUCAUUGUACGAUGUCAGACUAUUCAAUGUGGUCUUGGAAUCUUAUCUUAAUAGGAACAUGAUUGGGGAAGCUAAUGCUCUCUAUGAAAGUAUGGUGACCAAAGGAAUCGAUCCCACCUUAGCGACACUGAAUAUUUUCACAAUCUACCACAUUAAGAAUGAUCAGAUUGAUUCAGCUCUGAAGUAUCUGGAGAUGGGUGCAUGCAAGACAAUCCCAGAGGAACAUAGGUGGUUUCCUACAGAUGAAACUGUCAAAUUGUUUUUAGAAUAUUUUGAGAAGAAAAAUGAUGCAACUAGAGCUGAGAAGUUUUGUAACAGCAUGAAGAAGAUUGGUCGUCUUGAUUCUGCCGUUUAUGCAUCUCUGCUUUCCAAAAGUUGAUGACUAGAUCACUGCAUCGAAGUAUAGAGGUGUUUCUGAUUUAAAUAUGGCAGUGAGAAGAGGCCUUGACAAUUUGAUAUUUUAUACUGGCCUAAUUUAAGUCUUGCAAGGAAAUCGAGUUAAUGUUCACAAAUGCUAUUGUGCGAAGCAAAGCUGGCCUGUACUGAAACCUAGACCUAAACUAUGGCGGUGUAAGACCCCCGCGUGCACGCCCGCCGGGGGGGGGGGGGAUCUAAACUGUGGUCGAACGCAGUUAUUAUCACAACGAGCAAUGUCGAUUCCCUUGUAUAUUUGUACGUAGGACAUUAGUUCUCCAUAUUCUGAUCAACUUGCCUUUUCACUUCAGCGUUCUUUUCUUGGUGUUCUGUUGUUUUUUGGUUUUUUUUUUUUCAGCAAUUGCCUCUGAUGUUGAAUCCCUGUACUAGAUAUGACAGCAUUCAUUGUUUAACCAUCCAAGCAAACGAACCAAAGAAGUUUCUUGGCUCGUUUGCGCAAUUUAAACUGGUGACGAUAAGAUGUUAGAACUGAUUAAUUAUCAUAAUGCUGUUGUAAGAAGGUUGUUGAUGAUUGAAGUGGCCAGCGUUAGGUUGAGGUUCCCGCACUGAGCAUCAGAUCUUGGGAAACAGUUAAGAGGUUCAAUCUUUCUUGUGUUUUAGUAUGAUAAUUUCUCAGGAGCAGCAGUUAAGUGCUUGAUUAAAGAAGAAAAUAAAGGAAUAAAGGUAUUUCAACAAACAAGAUCGCCGUGUUUGGACGCUAAUUCCUGGAUAAGUCUCUACCUCUCAACUUCUAUUCAACUAUUUCCUUCUAAUUUUUUUUUUUAUUUUGAGCAUCCGGGAUCCCUACUUUCAGUGAGACUAAUCCGUAUUCGACCCGAAAACACCCGCAGAGUUCGACUUAUUUUUUACCAUUCGGUAUCUCCAUAUUCAGUGAGACUAAUCUGCAUUCGGCCCAAGAAUACUCGCAGAGUUCAACUUUUACUCAGGAUAAAGCUCUGACUCAGAACUUUUCAAAAUAUCACAUACAGGAAUCGAAUUUAUGACUUUUUAUUGCCGUUAACAACUCGCUUACUAAUUGUCCCAAACUUACGGGUUAUUUCCUUUUAAAUUGUCUUAUCAAUCAAAGCCGGGAUGAGUUGUUGUGGCACGUCUGCUGAAACAGCAAAUACCACGUCACAGCGCAUCCUCCACUGGGAACCUUUGAGAAUAUGGGUCGACUUGAAUAUCACUCAUAAGUCCAAUUUCUUCAUAAACCAAGAAUUGAGUUUGAAUUCAAGAAUAUGAUUUGUUACGUGAGUCAAGCUCAAGCACAUCAAAACUCAACUUAUAAAAUCCAAUUGACAGACCUAUUUCACUUGAACAGAUAAAAUGCUCAAAUAAGAUAAGUAGAAUUCACUAACUUCAUUGACAGCAAUUCAUGAAGGACCCUUACAUGUCCAUUUGACUGUAUUACUUUUGUCAAAAGCCAACUAUUGAGCUUAGCAAGUAUUUCGUCCCAAGUACCUGUUUUAUACCCUGAUAAGGAUUUCCCACGAAAAUUACCCUCAAUGUGCACGAUCAGGAUGUCCUCCUAAGUCCUAGGUCUUAUCCGAUUUCAUAACCAGUGUGCAAAGCUAUUUAGGUCGGUUCUUGAACUUGUCUUAAUUGAAAUGCUUGAAACCCCAAAACUUUGGUAUAUCUACCACUUUGAGCAUAUGGAAUUCUUACAAUCUUAUAUUCAUCUGCUUGGCUGAGAUAACCAAAUCCAAGAGCCAAGAAACUACUAUGCCUAUUCGAAUGCUUUAUGUUAAUGCUUGAAGAGGAAAUGCACUUAUAUUUUCUAAUACAAUGAUUCCAUAAAUAUGGUUUGCCCAAUGUAGUAGAUGGUAUUUCUUUUUUAUUGGCAAAACUUUGGUUUUUAGCACAAAGGAAAUUGGAGGCUUUGACAGGGCUAGCUAUAAACCACAUAAAAUGUACCAGUUGGUUACUCUAGGGAAAGAGAUGAAUCUGAAAAGUUGGAGUUCAAGUUCACCAUGGUAAGGAAGCCAGAUCAAACCAGCCCCGUGCCUGAGUCACCUACUGAAGCAAGUAAAUCAUCAACAGUGGAAGAGAAGGCAUGGAACUAUAGCUGCUAUGCCUACGCCGCCAGAGAAGAUGAAGCUCAUUUCUUCUGGGAAUGCAAGGACUAAGAAGAAAUCACAGCAGUGCAUUAGCAAUUCAGUGUAUGGUGGUUGCAGGCUUGCAGCAGCAGCAGCUACAAGAGGGAAGCCUCGCAUCCCAAGCCCAAGGCAAAUGGUCCUCUUAGGAGCAAAGCUGAAGCCAUAACCUGGAGAUGCUUUUGGAUAAACCUGCUACUGGUAAUCAAAGCAUACCAUCCUUUUGGAUACACACAUGAGACGGAUCAAGCUUUCAGCUGGAAGCUACAACAGGACUGUAACAAUCACCUCGAAAGGAAGGUCUGGAAUUGUUUCGUGUUUCUUGGACUGGAAUCUAAAUAGUUCGCUUGGGUUUUUCAGAUUGUGAGGUGUUAUGAAAAUAGAGAAUUUUUGAACCCAUAGUUGGACCUAAAAAUUUGCUGCUUCUAUACACAAAAAAGAAGACACAAAACCCAUCCAAUUUUGAUACUUUGGAACUUUUUAUCGAUUGUGAACAAAAUGGCUGACCAGAAACGCCCUGUUUUUCCGAUAGAAAUCAUCACUCCGUUUUUUGAUCCAGCUACCUCCUAAGGUCUUGAUGAAGCUCAUGCACCUUUCAAGAUCACGGAAGAACUUGAUCAGAGACCCUAGUUCUCUACGGCAAAAUUUGAAAGAUUCUCAGCAAAAGGUAAUCGAUAUCUCUUGUAUUUGACUGCGGAGUUAUAACCCGUGGACUUUCAAGUUGAAUGAUGAUAGAUCAUUCCAAUAUUUGUUUAGAUUUAAGAAUGCCUAUUUUUUUGGUCCACUCCUCUUUUCCUUCCUCACUUCUUUAAUCUCACCUGUUUUCUAUCUUGACAAGGACUUCGCCCCAAAGUUACCCACAAUCUGCACGAUCAUAUUUACUUCUAUCCUUCUUCCUUCUUCUUAACCAGUGUCCAAAGAUAUUUAACUUAGUUCUUGAACUUGUUUAAAUUAACAUAUUUAAAUUAAAUCCUUGAAAUUCCUUCCAUGCAAGUUGAAAAGACAAUCGCUUUAACUUAGUUGAAACCUCAAUUGCAGACACUUUCAAGUCAAAAAAUGGACCAUCUUAUAUUUCCUAAGAGGUAAUUAGUGAAGCUAAAGCAGUCUCUUCCGUAAUAUACAGCAGAUUCUUGAAAGAACCUAGUAAUUACACCUAUACUCAGAGAGAAAUGGUAGUGGCAAUGUCGAAUCAUAUUGAGAAUUUCCAACGAUCUGUCAUAUAAAUGGAAAUAAAUAUUUGCUUUGAUAGGACCGGGCCAGGAAAUAGACAAACUCAAGUUAGCACAAAUUAGGCGGUAUAACCGACCAUAUAAUAGAUAGGCGGUAGAUACCAGCCAUAUAAUAAUUAGGCGGUAAAACCGACCAUAUAAAGACGGAUAACAAAGCAAAUAAAAGACACAAAAGAUUUACGUGGUUCGGUCAAAUUGACCUACGUCCACGGGCGAGAGAGGAGCAAUAUUUCUACUAUGAAGAAGAAAUACAAAAGCCGUAGGAAAGUGGUUCCUAGGCCAAUAGGCACUUACAAAAGAGUUUAGAAAAUAUUCCUAAAUUCAAAACAAGAGAGCCUAAAAUAUUUAACUGAAUGGGAUAGAUGACUCAAGAAGCUAAUGGCCCAUAUAACUCUCUUGAGUGGUGCGAUUGAAACCUUCAUAUGAGCCCCCUAUUUAUAGUUGUAUUUGGGAGGCUUUCCUUCUGCUUCAGGCGAUGUGGGAUGAGGAAAUUCUGCCACAGUCAAGGAUUGCGGCUGAAGAAUUGCGGCUCAACAAAUCUCCACCUUGGCAUAAUUUUGAGUCCCACCAUCGUCAAUAGUAAAUUCGCUCCACCUUCUCCACAUAAGACCCAAUGGGUCUAAAUCACAAAUAACGAACACCAACCAAGUCCAAGCACUGCUUGAACUUGUAAUUUGGAAGAGGCUUCGUAAACAUAUUGGCUGGAUUGUCCUUAGUAUUGAUUUUCUGAAUAAGGACUUUUCCCUCUGCAAUGAUAUCCCGAAUGAAGUGAUACUUCACAUCAAUAUGCUUCGUCCUCUCAUGAUACAUCUGAUCUUUAGUCAAGUGUAUGGCACUUUGACUAUCACAGUGAAUAUCAGUAACACCUUGAUAUAGACUUAACUCGCUAAAUAAACUCUUCAACCACAAGGCUUCUUUGAUUGCCUCGGUCACAGCCAUAUAUUCUGCUUCAGUAGUAGACAAAGCUACGACAGGUUGUAGAGUAGCUUUCCAACUAACAGCACAACUGCCAAUGCAAAAUACAUAGCCUGAAAGUGAUCUUCUCCUGUCAAGAUCCCCAGCGUAGUCUGAGUCUACAAAACCAACCAAAGUGUUAUUAUUUCUUCCAAACUCCAAACAUACAUUUGAAGUACCUCGCAAGUAUCUGAGAAUCCACUUCACAGCCUGCCAAUGUGUUUUACCAGGACAAGAUAUAUAUCUGCUAACAACACUGACUGCUUGUGCAAUAUCUGGACGAGUACAAACCAUUGCAUACAUAAUACUGCCGACUGCACUGGAAUAAGGAACCCGUGCCAUAUAAUCUUCCUCUUCAUCUGAUUUUGGUGAUUGAGCAGCAGAUAGCCGAAAAUGUCUAGCAAGAGGAGUAGAUACUGGUUUAGCAUCUUUCAUGCCAAAACGCUCCAAGACUUUCUCAAGGUAAUUUUUCUGGGUCAAAAAUAACUUCCCUACUCCUCGAUCUCGAUUGAUAUCCAUGCCAAGAAUUUUCUUAGCUGCUCCCAAAUCUUUCAUUUCAAAUUCACUAUUUAACUGCAGUUUCAAAGUGUGAAUUUCUGACAAAUUCUUGGCAGCAAUGAGCAUGUCAUCAACAUAAAGCAGCAAAUAAAUGAAAGAACCAUCAUUUAACUUCCGGAAGUAAACACAACUAUCAUACAUGCUCCUCAAAUAACCAUGACCCAACAUAAAGGAAUCAAACCUCUUAUACCAUUGUCUUGGAGACUGUUUCAAUCCAUAUAAGGAUUUCUUCAAUAAGCAAACAUGGUCUUCCUUACCUUCAAUUUCAAAACCCUGGGGUUGUCUCAUAUAAAUUUGUUCUUCAAGUUCGCCAUGUAAGAAAACUGUCUUAACGUCGAGUUGUUCUAACUCCAAAUUAUACAUGGCAACUAAAGCAAGCAAAACACGAAUAGAGCUAUGUUUAACAACAGGUGAGAAUAUAUCAUUAAAAUCAACACCUUGUACCUGACUAUAGCCCUUUGCAACCAAUCGUGCUUUAUAUCUUACAUCUUCAACCCCUGGAAUACCUUCUUUCUUCUUGAAAACCCAUUUGCAUCCAACAAUUUUCUUAGCUGACGGCGGCUUUACAAGAACCCAAGUUUCAUUACGAUGAAGAGAUUCAAUUUCUUCAUUCAUCGCAAUCAACCACUUUGCAGAGUCAUCACAAGAAACUGCUUCUGAAUAGGUGGAAGGCUCACCAACUGCAUCAGUUUCUUCUGCAACAGACAAAGCAUAUGCAACUAAAUUUACAUAUCUUUGUGGUGGUCGAAUGUCUCUCCUUGCUCUAUCUCUGGCUAUGGAAUACUCUUCUUCUUCAGAACUAUCUUCAACAGUAGAUUCAGGUGUAUCUACUGGCAUUUGAAUAGAAGAUUUGGAUUGAGAAGGACCAGAACUGCCAAUAUCAAGCUCCACCUGCUUCUGUGUACUAUCAGUAGUACAAGGACUAGAAGACUCCUUCUUGGAAGAUAACAGAGAUAAUUCAUCAAAAGUAACAUCUCUACUGAUUACAAAUUUUGGGGAUUUGGGAUCAGAAUACCAUAAUCUGUAUCCUUUCACCCCAGAAGCAUACCCAAGAAAAAUGCACUUUUUAGCCCUAAGCUCCAAUUUUCCAUCAUUCACGUGCAUGUAUGCUGGACACCCAAAAACUUUUAAAUUGGAGUAAUCAGCAGGAGUACCUGACCAAACUUCCUCAGGAGUUUUGAAAUCAAGAGAUGCAGAAGGAGAACGGUUGACAAUAUAACAGGCCAUAUUGAUCGCCUCUGCCCAAAAGUCGUUUGUCAACUCUGCAUUGGAGAUCAUACAUCUUGCUCUCUCCAAAAGAGUUCUGUUCAUACGUUCGGCCACACCAUUUUGUUGAGGCGUCAUCCUGACGGUGUGAUGCCGAACAAUUCCUUCAUUUUUGCAAAAUUCAUUAAAUUCACCUCCACAAAAUUCCAUGCCAUUAUCUGUUCUCAACCGCUUAACAUGUUUUCCUGUUUGUUUCUCAAUCAAAACUUUCCAUCGUUUGAAAGUUAGGAAAACAUCAUUUUUAUGCUUAAGAAAAUAGACCCAAACUUUCCUUGAAUAAUCAUCAAUGAAAGUCAACAUGUACCUGGCACCACCUUUAGAAUGAGCACGAGAAGGACCCCAUAGAUCUGAAUGAAUGUAAUCAAGAGUACCUUUUGUCUUGUGAAUUGCUGGUGAACUGAAGCUGACUCUUUUCUGCUUCCCAAAAAUACAAUGUUCACAGAAUUCCAAUGGCCCGGUACUUUGACCACACAGAAGUCCUCUUUUGCUCAGUAUGCCCAAGCCUUUUUCGCUCAUGUGCCCCAAACGCAUAUGCCAUAAUUUGGUGAUGUCAGUAUCUGACAAAGAUGAUGUUGAAACAGCAGCAGCACCUGUCACAGUAGAUCCCUGCAAAAUAUACAAAGUACCAGAUCUGUGUGCCUUCAUAACAACAAGAGCUCCUCGAGUGAUUUUGAGAACUCCGUUUCCACCUGAAUACCUGCACCCGAUAGACUCAAGAGUGCCCAAAGAGAUGAGAUUUUUCUUCAAAUCUGGAACAUGUCUAACAUCUGUGAGAGUCCUCACAAUACCAUCGUACAUUUUAAUUUGGAUUGUGCCUUUGCCAACUACUUUACAAACAGCGUUUUUGCCCAUUAAGACAACUCCACCUUCAGUUGAUUCAUAUGUUGAAAACCAAUCCCUGUUGGGACACAUAUGAUACGAACAACCCGAAUCUAAAAUCCACUCAUUGUUAGACCUAAAAUUAUUUUCCGUUGCACAGAAAAUGGUUCCAUCAUUCUCAUCAGCUGCUAUACUAGCUUCAGCGGAUUCAGUAUUUUUCUCAACAAAUUUCCCCUUUUGCUUUUCCUUAUUUUUCAAUUUAAAGCAAUCAGAAAUAACAUGACCCUUCUUUUUACAAUAAUUGCACACCACAUUUUUAUGUCUGGACUUGGAUCUAUUUCUAUUUUCUGUGUUUCUCUUUUCAGAUCUACCCCGAACAAACAAGCCAUCAGCUUGACUCCCACUAGUUUCCCCAGUAAUAUCCCUAUCUAUCUGCUCUUUAGAUUUUAACGCAGAUUUAAUUUCCCGAUACAAAAUUGUUUCCUUUCCAUAUAUCAUAGUAUCACGGAAAUACUUAAAGGACUGAGGAAGGGAACAUAAAAGUAAUAGGGCCUGAUCUUCAUCAUCAAUUUUCGAAUCUAUAUUCUCCAAAUCCAUAAUAAUGGAAUCAAAUUUAUCAAGAUGGGAGAGUAUAGAUGUACCUUCAGACAUCCGAAGCAUAUACAAACUCUGCUUCAGAUAUAGCCGAUUCUCGACUGUGUUCUUCAUAUACAAGGCUUUCAAUUUAUCCCACAUAGCCUUGGCCGAAGUCUCCGUUGCUACCUCACGCAAUAUCUCAUCGGAGAGAUUUAGGAUAAUACUGGAUCUUGCCUUCUUAUCCAUCUCAGCAAAAUUUGCAUCUGUCACAUCUUCUGGCUUUUUCUCAAUUCCUUGAAUUGCCAAAUCAACUCCGUCUUGAACAAGAAUGGCCUCCAUCUUGAGCUGCCACAUGCCGAAGUUGACAUUCCUGUCGAAUUUCUCGACAACCGUCUUUGUUAUCGUCAUUGUUGCCACAAAAUCUGUAACUUGAAAUUUGUCUCAAAAAAAAAACUGGCCAAACAAAUAUGCAAGUCUCGUGAGCGGGCCCCACAGGGUGAGCGGACCCCACGAGAUAAGCGGGCCCCACGGGGAUGAACGGACCCCACAAGGUGAGCGGGCCCCACGGAUAAACGGACCCCACAGGAUGAGUGGGCCCCACAGGAUGAACCUGUCUUGCAAAAUAUAACAACCAGCUCUGAUACCAGUUUGAUAGGACCGGGCCAGGAAAUAGACAAACUCAAGUUAGCACAAAUUAGGCGGUAUAACCGACCAUAUAAUAGAUAGGCGGUAGAUACCAGCCAUAUAAUAAUUAGGCGGUAAAACCGACCAUAUAAAGACGGAUAACAAAGCAAAUAAAAGACACAAAAGAUUUACGUGGUUCGGUCAAAUUGACCUACGUCCACGGGCGAGAGAGGAGCAAUAUUUCUACUAUGAAGAAGAAAUACAAAAGCCGUAGGAAAGUGGUUCCUAGGCCAAUAGGCACUUACAAAAGAGUUUAGGAAAUAUUCCUAAACUCAAAACAAGAGAGCCUAAAAUAUUUAACUGAAUGGGCUAGAUGACUCAAGAAACUAAUAGCCCAUAUAACUCUCUUGAGUGGUGCAAGUUAAAUCCUUCAAAGGACCCUUCUAUUUAUAGGCCUCGAGUAGCCGGCUUCUCUUCAGCAGGCUCCGAUGUGGGAUGAGAAGGAAAUGAAAAAUUAUGCCACAAGUCAAAGCUUGCGGCUCUGACAAAACAACAUGCUUCAUGCUCCAUUUCAUAAAUAAAAAACAAAAGGAGCAUUUGCCAAACAAAUCAGCUCAUAACAGAUAAUAAGUUGGAAGCCCUCCCAAUUAUUUUUUCUUUUUUCAAUAAAAACUAAAACAUAAACAGAUAGUUUCUCACUUUUUUUUUCGCCAAACCUCCCUCAGUGCAACAGUAAUCGGUGGUUUUCCAAGAUAAACUUUAAGAAAAAUUCCAAUAGUUUUACAUACACACACUCCCUCCGCGGGGGGUCUUCUCCUUUUAUGAGCUAUAAAUCCCCUAUGCUUGGAAGAAGAACUCCAUAAUUGCCAGAAACCCAGGAUCGCUAUUAUCAUUUUUAUACUUUACACCUUCCACAGUACACUCCUUAACUUCUCGUAUUCCUUGUAAAGAAACUUCAAAUUACACAUACACUCACAGAUACACACUUUCCAUGGCAAAAUGAAUAAAAAAUAAAACGUUACUGAACAGCCUGUCAGAUCAAAUGCAAGGUCCGUCCUCAAGCCAACACCCAAAAGCAUCAGCAACAGCAGAAGAAGAUGAGAUCGCACAAUUCAUCGUUUGCAAUGAGCUCGUCAAUUAGAUUCUCUCAAGCUUCUGGUGCGUUUUCAAAUCUUGGCUUUGUUAGAUCCCUGGAGUUCGUCAAAACCCAUGUGGAGAAAUCUCACAAUCCACAAAACCAAUGACUACAUGUUGCAUAGUUUUUUUUUUCAUGAUUGGUUUUUAUCCAAAAUUAAGCAGUCUUCUCUUCAUUUUGCAUUGUAUUUUAGGCAGUUAAACUACCAGAGAGAGAGAGAGAGAGAGAGAACAUCUUGUGGUAGUGCUUGUUGUUCCAUUAGGCCAAGUUAAAGGUCUGAAUACAUUGAUAUGCUCAAAUUGGCAUUUUCUCAGAUUUAACCAAACUGAACUAAAAUAAGAUCAAACAAAACAUGGUCAAACACUCUUUUUACAACUCAAAUAAAUUGCUUUUACAAUUAAAAACAUUAAUGAAGUAGAUUGGAUUAAGCCAAAAAAACAACAAUUCGUAUAAUUUGACCUCUAAAGUGAAGCGGAAAUCAAAUAGAGAAAAUUGGACAAAAAAUUUAUGUAGUUUGGUUUAAAAGCUACCUACAAUAUCUUAGGUCGUCUUCUCCUUGUGUAAUUUUUGAAUAUGCAACAUAAAAGGCUCGUCUUUUGAUGUUAACAUCUUUAAGUUUGGCAAAUUACAAACGUAAGGACUUUGUUUUGAAACAUUCAUGAAACGAUAGUGAUACAAGGCCGAAAAUGUAUCAUCAAAAAACAUAUGGUUGUGUACUGAUCUAUGUGUGAUGUAUUUAUAAGCUAAUCUAACGUACAAGUGGUUCAAAGCUGAUCUACCACUUUGUAGUGAUUAGGUUCAAAGAAUCUUCACUAAAAUAGUGGUUCAAUCGAAUGACACCAUUAUUUAUGCAUACGAUUAUCAGAUUAUUCUGUAACCUUUGGAAGUCUAUUUUUUAAAAUUUGAAAUGGCCGAGGAUUGUUGAAUAUUUUCAAAAUUUGAUUAGUUGCAAGAUGGGGUCCUGUCUUAGGAUUCAACAUGAGACCCAUCACUAUUUGGUUCUUGUAAUGCUCAGCUAUGUUUUCAGAACCGGACCGGGUAGUGACUUGGCCGAGGUCAGGGGUCAGGGGUCAAUGGAUUCGACCGGGGGUCGAUAGGGGUCGAACCGGAUGACGUCAUAAAUAAAAAUUAUUUAAAAAUUAAAAUAUUAUAUAUAUAAUAUCUAAUAAUAUAUUGAUAUUAAUAAAGGUAUAUUCAUAUAUAUUUGAUGUUUCAAAUAUAUUUAACAAGAAAAUACAAAAAAAUUAGAACAAUCAAGUAGCAAUUUAUAUUAUUUAAUAAAUAUUAACAAGUUAGAAUUAAAAUUAUGAAUUUAAUUGAAAAAUAACAUCAAAUUUUAGGACAAUAUUUAUAAAGUAUCAAAUAUUUGAGGUAUAUCAAUAAGUUUUAACAAUUUAGGGGGUCAAAACAUAAUAUUAAAAAGUUUGAAUUUUUUUUUAAAAAAAUUACUGUUGAACCAGAAAAAUCGGUUUUUUCCCGAUCAAACCCUGUUUUUGACCGGCUUUGACCGGGUUUUAAAUUUUCGGUUUUUUAAUAUGACUCGGACCGGCUACCUGGCCGAUUCCCGGUUCGACUGGCCGGUCCGGUCCGAGUUUUAAAACAGAGAUGCUCAGAAGUUGUUUAAAUCUACUUGACAUCUUUUCAUAUUUUUGACAGUUGAUUAUCCAAAAACUGUCUGAACACUUACAUUGAUAUUGAGGAAAUUUUUUACCAACACAAAUGCACAAAUCAGUGGUGAAAGGUUGAACUCUUGAUCAUUUUCAAUCUCAAUUCUAUAAAGGUCUAGUAGGGAUAGCUUGCUGUAGAAGAUUAUUUUUCCUACUAUUAGAAUUUUUUGCAAAAACACACCAUAGUUCAAGUAGAUUUGUUUAACUUUGUACAAGAGUUAAGACAAGCAUUCUUCAAAUUAUCCUAAAGGAUAUUUUUUCAAAGUUUUUACACACAAAAUUUUGGACAAAUAAAGUUUAAAGGAAAGUGAUCUUGAAUCACGAUUUGAAGUCUUUUUGCUUUGUAACUUUCAGCCAUGUUCUCUUGUAGUCUCUAAUAAUUUUUUCGAGGCUCUAAUUUGGAGACGCAUACAUUGCACGUGGAUUAGAAUAUGGCUAGAAGGAAGACUAGGAGAAUAGUAGAGACCAAUAUAUAUAUAUACUAGUUUUGGGGUGCCACGCAUUGGCGUGGCACUGCCCAGGUUUGUGUUUAAUAUGUAUAUAUAAUUUUGGUGUUAUUUAUGAGAAGAGUGUUGUAUGGUAAUACUGAUGCAAUGGCGUGACAGGAUUUAGUUAUUAUGGGCAACACAUACAAAAGAAAAAAUAAAAAACUAAUAAAUAGAAGAGAACCUGAAAGAAAGAAGAGAAGAAAGCUCCCUAUAGCCUAACCGAAAGCAAAAAACAACGGAGUUAAACUGACAUCACAGUCACCCAGCGAACUCGGAUCAAUCCAGUAUUUGCUCAACAAUGACCAAACGUACCAUGCAGCAGCCAACUGGACAAUGACUCAACGCACCCUAUACACAAUAUAGCGCCACACAGUCACCUACAACAGCACCCACUAACAUGCACCCGAUUCAAUAAACCCCACUAAAAGGCAAUGCCCAGGUUUAAGCUUAGCAUGUAUAAUUUUAGGGUUCUGUUUAUAAUGCAAUGCAUGUAAUGGUAUCCAAAUGGAAAUUCAUGUGCAUGUGGUGAGAAUAUUUGUCUAUAAUAAUGAUAUACGCGUUAUUGAAUCUGGAGUAAAUAUACUUACAGGAGAGAUAAUUAAUUGUAUUAGGUUUGUCAUGCCUAAAUGAUUUUUGUUGAUAAUUUGGAAAGGAUUAUUUUGUUUUAUUUUUUAUUGUUCCUUUGAUAUGUUAUAAUUUCUUUUAUGGGUUAUCCUAAUUGUUAGGCUCAUAUAAUAACUUAGGUAGUAACUAAGUUAGGAUAGUUAAAUUCUGAUUUUUGUUAACACUCAAUUGAAUUCUAAUUAUCAUCUACUAUUAGCUAGUCAAUAGUUUUAGUAUAGUUAAAUUAGUUAAAUUUUUCAUUUUGAAUUCAAAAUUUGAUUUUAUUAUAGUUCAAUUAGUUAGCUAGUCAAUAGUUUUAGUAUAGUUAAAUUAGUUAAAUUCUAAUUAGCUAGUCAACACUCAAUUAAAUUCUAAUUAUCAUCUACUAUUAGCCAGUCAAUAGUUUUAGUUUAGCAUAGUUAAUUUAGUUAAAAUUUUCAUUUUGAUUUUAUUAUAGUUAAAUUAGUUAGCUAGUCAAUAGUUUAAGUAUAGUUAAAUUAGUUAAAUUUUUCAUUUUGAAUUGAAAUUUUGAUUUUUUUUUAACACUCUAAUUGUAAUUAGGAACGAUUAGCUCCUUGAAUUGGCCAAUAUUACACCAAUAACCGGUCUAAUGUGGCUAAUAUUACACCUAUUUGAUUUUAUAUCAUAUAUUUCUAAUUGUAAUUAGGAAAAUUUUGAUUUUAUUAUAGUUAAAUUAGUUAGCUAGUCAAUAGUUUUAGUAUUGUUAAAUUAGUUAAAUUUUUCAUUUUGAAUUGAAAUUUUGAUUUUUUAACACUCUAAUUGUAAUUAGGAACGAUUAGUUCCUUGAAUUGGCCAAUAUUACACUAAUAACCGGUCUAGUGUGGCUAAUAUUACACCUAUUUGAUUUUAUAUCAUAUAUUUCUAAUUGUAAUUAGGAACGAUUAGUUCUUUGAAUUGGCCAAUAUUACACCAAUAACCAGUCUAAUGUGGCUCCAUGCAAUCACCAACAAAUGAAGAAUAGUUAUUGGCACCACCGUAACCAAAGGGCCCUCAGAUUGGUGUAAAUUACUGCAACAACCCACUAAGACACCCUAACCAAAGGCCCCUCAAAUUGAUGAAAAUUACUGCAAUAACCGGACCACAAUUGCUACAGUAACUUGAGCUUGGUACUUUUAUAUCUUGUAAGAUAUAUAUAUAUAUAUAUCCCAACAAUAUAUUUAUAUCCCCAAAUGGAUGCUUUUCUUCUGCCCCAAUUCUUUAAUCUUGGUAGUCCUUGAUGUAUAACUGGCUGCUAAUAUAGCAAGUAUUUGAAUGACAUCAUAUGGUAAGGACAUAAAUGCAUCCACUUAAUACAGUCCAUAUUUGCAUGCAUGUUACAUGACAACGUAGACAUUCAAGAGACCAAAAGUGAACUAAGAAUAUGUCUAGUUGCAUAUCAUUGUGUUGAAACCUUGAAAGCCCUUUUAACUGAUAGUUGUACCUGUACCCCAAAGUUCCUGAUCGAUCGCCAGCCCUGAGUUCGUUAUGUGGAGAAUUGUCUGUCAACAUCUAUAACUACAAGAAGCGAAGGUUGGUUUUUCAUGAUAGUUUCUCACUUGCAAUCCAAUAUCCUGAUCAUAUUUUUCCAAGCUUUGGAAAAAGACGUGAAUUUCACGGGGGAUUUAGAUGGAAAGCAAAAGGAGUAUGGUAGUAAUGAUCUCAAAAAGAAGACAAGGAUCUUCCUUGUCCCAUCGACCUUGGCUGAGAGUUUAGUUGAUUUCGUCCAUAUAUAUGCAGGCCAUGUAGGCUAUGUAUGUUACAUGUUAUAGGCCUCAAAUAAUCUUUUCCAGGCCUUGGUUUGGAGAAGCACAUAAAUCGCACGAGGAAUAUUACAGGAGGAGAAUGGUAGUGACAAUUAAAAAAGACCAAGGAAACCCUCUCAAACACUUGCUUUCGAUUAACAUUUGCUCAGCAUCUGAGAUUAGUUGAUGACGGAAACACUCAUCAACUGUUUGCCAUCCAUAACCUUUGCGUGCAUGUACGAGUAUGCUAGAUGGCUGAAGCUUCAAACAUACAGCUGAAUUUGAGUUUUUUUUUUUUUUUUUUGAGGUUUUAGACGGUGGAUUUUGGGAUUAAUUUCUCAAUCAAGUGCAAGAAUGUUGACCAAAAUAUGGAUUUACAACUUUAUGCUACUUGUCAACUUUGGCUGAUAAUUAAAAAAAAUGUUGCGUUUGCAACUACCUGCCAACUCUUUGCUCUCAUUUUCUACGUUUAUGCUUGAGAUUCUGAAAUUUUAAGGGGUUUGAAUCAAUAGUUUUAUGGUUAAAUUCACUGAAGUGUGACAAAUGGACUCAAAUUGAAAAAAAAAAAAAACAAAAGUAAUUUAAGCAAGGUAUCAUAAGAGGGAGAAUGAAGAAGAAAAGAGGGGAGAAAUCAAUCCAGAGAAUGAACAGUACCACGACAGAAACUGUUAUAAAGGAUAAAAGAGUUGCAACAAUGAUGAGGGAUGUGAGAGUGGUCUUAAGAUACAUAGGUCUUACCAUUUCCGAAUCUAAUCUGUGUAAUCAAUAUAUUUUUAAUGCUUUCUUUUUCUUUCAACAAUUUUUUUCUUGUAAUAAAUUUAAAUUAUUCAUUUAUUUUUCUAGAGUAACUUUACUUAAUCAGGCUUUAAUUUAUUAAUUUUUUCUUAGAAACUAAGUAUUUGUUUCAUGAGAAAAUGGAUUACUGCAUCUUUUAUAUUUAAUUGAAAAGGUUACGUAGCCUUAGGUGUAUAAUUAUUGUAAAAAAUUUAAUUGCUAUCUCAAAAACCUUUUUUUUUUUUUGGUUUAUGCAUCCUAUUAUGACAUAUUUAUGUAUAAAAGUUAUUAAAAAUUGGUAUGGUUGUCGACUAAUUAAUAUGUAAUAAUUUUCUGGAAUAAACAUCAUAAAACAUAUAAGAAUAUCAUUCAUAUUUCUUUUCUUUUUCGGUUAUUUAUUCCUUGGACAUGUUCGUAAAUAAUUAACAAAAAUACGUGCAUUAGCACGGCUGAAAUACUAAUUAUUAUUACUUCAAUGAAAUCCACGAUGGUUGUACGUACUCUUUUAUUUGAAAUUUAUAUUUGUCGACUUGAAAAUGACCAAGAACAAUGCAACACCAUUUACGUGGCUUAAAUUAAUACGACAUGAUUACUACAACUAGGAAUAAUCUAUUUCUCAUGUAGAUCGACUAUGGAAAAAACUAUUUGGACACAAAAACUGCAUCGUCUUCUAAUUCUUUAGUUGUCCAAAUUGCUUCAUGAACUUCAAAAUUGUCCUUAAACUUUAGAUUGGGAUAUCUUAUUCCUAAAAUGCAAAAGCUUCUGCCAUUUUAAUUAGCCCUUCUCAUAAGAUAAUCAUUGCAUUAAAAACUUACUUAAACAAGCAAACUAUGAUUGAAAAUAAUAGAAAUGCUAUUCUCUUUAUCGUGAAAGGACCUUAUGCUACAAGUGAACUACAACGUGAUAAAGUCAUGACAAUAGAUAGGGAAGCUUGGAUAAGUACCAAAAUGUUGCCUAAUCUUGUGAUCUCUUGGCCUAAAAUUUAAUGUCGGUGUUACAAUAACAAGUUAAAUAUUUAGUUAAUGGUCAUAGUAAAAGCAAAUAAUCUUCAAUCAGUCAAAUGAGUCCCAUCGUGAAUUAAUAGACAUACAUCAACUUAAUUAUCUAAUUUUUUUUUUUUUUUUUUGGAACGACACCAUUUACACAUCUAAAAAAUAAGCAACCAUAUUCUUUAGGGUAUGAUCUCAACUGUAUAUGGAUAUAGAAGUCACAAGUUCACGCCUCACUUAAUUAUUUGAGGUCGAUUUGGUUUUGCAAAGACAUAUAUUUACUAGUCAUAAAUAAUAUAUAUAUUAACUAGGUAAUUUUUGGAGCCAAAAUUAUUCUCUUUCCCAGGUUGCAGUAAACAACUUAAAGAACCUAAUUCCAGCUUACCUGCGGAUUGAUAUAUAAAUUGGGAUUUUGAAUCUUGAAUCUUCUUCAAAUUAUCUGUCGUGAAUUAGAUUGAAAGACAUAUUCAUUUUCUUAAAAGAAAAAAGCAGUAAACUGAACUUAUAACCCGUCAUGGGUCUAUCACAUCACAGGGAAGGAAUGUUGCAACACCAAACAGUGAAAAUGUCUCCAAUGAAACAUCAUAAUAAAAAAUUCCCAGCAACUCUACAAAAAUUUUGACACAAACUUUCAAAUAUAGAAGUACUGCGACACUUUCUUGAAACCUUUCUGUGUUUUGCACAAACUCAAUAGCCAUGCCAAGAAACAUCAUGAUUUGCACGCACCAUGUUUCAAGUUUGAGAUCCCUCCUAUCCUGGAACCCAAACUCAGCAACUACUUGAAUUCCUCUUAAGUAGCCAUCUUGUCUUGUCAGGGGAUCCCUUGUAGAUCCAUCAUCUUUCAAUGUCACCAAACCAUCAAGCAUGACCAGCGCAGAGGCAUAUAGAGUUGUGAACGGAUGAACAGUCAAGUAAUAACUAUACGAUUUGAGCUCCUCAAAUCGAGAGUAACGUUGUCUUUGCGAUCCCUUGACGUAUAUACAAGAUGAAACCGAAUCUUCUGAAUCUAAAUACAUUGAAUUUUGGUCUACAAUGCUUGGGGAAUGACCAAAUUCUCCACACUUGAGAUCAAAACGAGAAUUGGACGAGAAGUUUAGGAGGAAUUAAGUAACUAGAGAAUAGUAAAGCUGGUCUGCAACAUAAAACAGGGAUUUUGCCACAUCCUCUGAUAUUGCAUCAGACUUGAACUUUGCAUCUUUCGUUGUCUAUAUGGCCCCAAUCAAUUAAAUGGAUGCAAAUCAUGCAAUGAUGUGGAGGCCAGUGUAUAGUGUAUAAUCCGUUAUAAUCUUACAUGUAUGCAUAAACGGAUGUAUAGCAUGAAUCUUUCACACAUAAACACCUGUUUAUGCACACUGGUGUGAUUAAUUAGCCUUCUCAAGUGGGAAAACUAAUUAACAUAAUACAUAGGGCUCUGAAAUCCUUGCCAACUUAGAGUAGGAGUACGCCUAGACUGCUAGUGAUGCUUAAAUGCAAUUAGAUGACGGGUUUUAUUUAAUCAGAUUUUCAAACGAUUGUAGUUAUUCUUGGUGCUUUAUGCAUAAAUGGAGAAACCUCAUUCAUUGCUUUUGGAUAUCUUAUCACUCAUAGAAAAGUAUACAUGAUAGAGUAGAAAAACAAAAUUCUCUGCUUAAUUAGCGAUGAUUUGAUUUAUUAAACCAAUUGAACAUGUACACUGGGGUCAAUUUCGAAAGAUUUUGCACUUCACACUUGUAAACGAUAUUAGAUUCUCAAAUAAUCACACAAAUUAAGGCGUUUGAUACUUGGCACGCUACUAGUCAGCUAGUUAUAGGCUAGAAUAUGACGGUUUAUCAUAUUUUCAUUUUGCCACUUAAAAUGAUCAAAGCGAUUGUGAUGAUGAUGAGGGUUGAGGGAAGUGAAAGUGAAAGUGACAUUAAUUAUCAUUUUGAUUGAAAGCUGUGUCCUUCCAAGCUUGAGAUAUAUAACGAUCUAAGGGGUAGGAAGCAUUUUCUUUUCUGCGGAAAGAAGGGUGGAAGUGACUGAAACAGGAGCAAUAUAAAGAUUUGGACAUCCAGGGAAUGCAGCACAGGAGAAGGGAAUUAAAGGGAGUGGUGACUGAGAAUCUUGUUGAUCCUCCUGAUAUAUGCAUGCUCUUACCUCAGAAUCCUCUAGCUCUGAAGAGGGUAAUGAUGAUUCUGAUGAUAACUACGACAAUAACUAGGAAGAACCAGGGAGCUCUAUUAUCACUUUUAUGGGCCCAUAAAUAUCAAACAACAAAAAUAAUUUAUCAAGCAAGAAAGCACAAAACAAAAAAUGGAGUCUAUCAAAAUGCAGCGGCUACAACUUACUAAAGAAAUGGAGACAGUGCCUUUAGUCACUAUUUCGACAUUUUGAUGAAUGGCUGACCGUGUAUUUCCUAAUUGUAGAAUUACGUAGGUAAUUUGUGGAGCCAAGAUAUUGUUUUCACAAUUUGCAGUGCAUAUAGAGGAUUAAUUUGCAGUACAACUCAAAAAAUGGAAUUCCACACAUACACACGCACACACAUAUAGAGGAUUAAUUCUUCUUACAUCGUCACACUGUAUAUGCUGAUAGGAUUGAAUGAAUGUCAUAUUAUUUGAAUUUGAAUUUAAACAUUAAAUUUUGUAUAUGUGAUAUGCAUUAAUUUAAACCCGUUAGUGUAUACGCUAUUAAUGCAUAAAAGAUUUACUCAUUUAUAUAUAUAUAUAUAUAUAUAUUUGGAAAAACACGUGACUUGCACGAGAAUAUUAAGACCAAGAUGAAUAUGAAAAAUUUCUAUCCUAUAAAGUUUUUUGGGUUUCGAUUGCAUGUACAAGGGUAGACUUGCCAACAAGCCAAACACCAAAGUGCAACAGAGAAGUGGCCCUAACUAACCUCCUUCGAUUUCUCCAUCCACGAAAAAUUAUAGCGCAAAUGAUUCUUGCGUCCCUAUAGAUUAUGUUUUAGGAAGCACCAAUCCUGGUUAAACAAUUUGUGAAACAAGGCUUUAAUAUGAGUAUAGAUUAUGAGUAUAUAUAAAUUAACAAAGGCAAUUUCUAGAGGGUAUACAACUUGUUUAAUUCAGAGAAUUAGAAUAUCGUACAUGGUAUGCUUGUCUUGUGGAUGUUUUUUGAAUUUAUUAUCUCUCUGUAUAUUCUUUUUUUUUUUUUACAAGUCUUGAAAAUAUAUUGUUCUAUGUCUUUUUCCAAAAUAAAUUGUAUUUUUCUUUUCAAUUUGUCAUUUUAUGGGGAUAAAAAGUUCCAAAUUCAUAAUGGUCUCUUUUUUCUUUUUUUCUUUUUUUAUAAGCCCUAACGGUCUUGUUUUGAUUUGGUUCAGAAUUUGGGAACCUACUAUCUUUUUAUAGUUAAAAAAGAGUAUAAAACUAAGUCACUUUAUGAGCCUUGACAGUAGAUAUUAACAUUUGUUGGAAAAAACAUAUGAGUCUUGAUAGUAUUAUGCUUCUUUUAAAUUAAAAAAAAAAAGGGAAAAACAAUGGCACAAAGUUGGGCACACUUUUGUUCUUAGUUUUACACAAAUGAAUUAUUAGAUUUUUAAACUUAUGUUGUAAAAAAAAAAAGGACAACUAAACAAAAAAAAAAAAAA